AUAUAUAGUUUAUAAAAACGACAAUUUGUGGUAUUGUUAAUCUAAAAAUUAAA
rnacentral:tRNA from 1 species